rnacentral:rRNA from 1 species
AGUAGUUUGAUCCGUGGCUCGAGGACGAACGCUGGCGGCGUGCCUAACACAUGCAAGUCGAGCGGAGUUACAGAGCGGAAAGCUUCGGCCGGAAGGUUUGUAACUUAGCGGCGGACGGGUGAGUAACGCGUGAGCAACCUGUCCUCUACAGGGGGAUAAGACAGCGAAAGUUGUUCUAAUACCGCAUAAGACCACAGGAUCACAUGGUCCAGGGGUCAAAGGAGCAAUCCGGUAGAGGGUGGGCUCGCGUCCGAUUAGAUAGUUGGUGAGGUAACGGCCCACCAAGUCGACGAUCGGUAGCCGACCUGAGAGGGUGAUCGGCCACAUUGGGACUGAGACACGGCCCAAACUCC